rnacentral:lncRNA from 1 species
GCAUGAAGAAAAAAAGUCUGGAAAACUGAUUUGCUGGACUGAUGGACGGACAGACGAACAGACAGAGUGCAAACCUAUCAAAAAUACUGUGCAGUACAACAGACCACAUCAUCCAUGAACAUCUGACUAAAGGCAGGGAUCUUAUAUGGUUUUAAAGAUUUUUAUAUUGUAUAUGAUGAUAUAUAUUAGAUUGUGAUACUAUAGAAAACUGUUUAC